rnacentral:tRNA from 1 species
ACGGUUAUAGCUUAAUGGAAGAGCAUUCGGUUACGAACUGAUUAGUGCGGGUUCGAAUCCUACUAACCGUA